CACCAGCCUGGCGCGGGAGCGAGCGCCCGGGAUACUGGGCUGGCCAGAGAAGCGCGUGAACGCGCAGUUUUCAAGAGAGGCGCCGAAGUGGGAAAAGUGGCCUUAAGAGAUAAACAGAUCCGUGCGCUGUGACAAGGGAUGGUGACCAAUGGAAAAAAAGAAAUCCCCUCCUCCUGCUGCCUUCAGGCCCCCACAGCCAACUGAGUGUUAAAAACUCAACAGAUAUGAAAACACAUACAUUGUUUCCUCCUCCUUACUGCCCAGGUCCUGGGCACCGAGGCCAAGGACUUUCCAGGGCUGGAGGAGAGUGAGUAUGAAUGAAUGAUGGAUAAAAGGAAACGGAAGGAUGACUCUGAUUUUCUUCUUUUGGCAUGUGCAGAGUCACUUUCUCCUUCUCCAAUUAAAUAAAUACAAUGAAGCGGCAUUGU